ACUUGGAGCAAGAGCUUCUUCUUGGUUGUAUUUAUUUUGUAUAGCCAAGGGCUUAAUUGUAUUGAGUUAGACUCAUUUUGUUGUAACCAAGCAGUGACUUGGAAAUAUGUAAGCCUUUAAGGCAUAUGAAUAUCUGUAUAACUUUCAGUUCUUAUUCCUACUUGUUAUACAUGCUACAAAUUCAGGAUGAACAAUUUAGGAAUGUGUAAUGCAUGUGUCAUCUUUUGUAUAUAACUCUAAUGAAUGUAAGAUUACUAUUUUGUUUAUGUCAUUGUGUAUAUGUUACUGGGAACCAAUCUAUGACAUUUAUUUCGGGGUGUGACAUCAUAAUUGGAGGAAGAGGAGUAUUUCUUCGAGCUUCCAUAUUGGGAGCAUAAUUUAAUUCGCCACAAUAUUGAUGUAAUGCACAUUAAGAAGAACAUAUGUGAUAAUGUAUUGUGAACGAUAUUAAAUGUUGAUGGGAAAGGAAAGGACAAUUUAAAUGCUCGUCGAGACAUGCAAGAUAUGGGAAUUCAGAAGGCAUUACAUCCUGAAAAAGGGGUUGGAAAUAGGUAUUAUUUGCCACAUGCAUGUUUUGCUAUGAACAAUAGAGAGAGAGCUUUGUUUUGUACACUCCUGAAGAAUAUCAAAGUUUCAGAUGGGUAUGCAUCCAAUAUUUCUCAUUGUGUUAACCUCAAACAACAUAGCAUAUCUGGACUGAAAAGUCAUGACAACCAUAUAUUGAUGCAACAAAUACUUCCAAUAGCAGUGAGAAAUUUGUUACCAAAGAAAGUUGUUGAACCAUUGAUUGAGUUAAGCAAUUUCUUCAAGCAGUUGUGCUCCAAAACUCUAGAGCCAGCUGGGUUAGAUCGUCUUCAAUCCCAAAUUGCUCGUACACUUUGCCAUCUUGAGAGAAAUUUUCCUUCAUCCUUUUUCAAUAUAAUAGAGCACUUGCCUAUUCACCUAGUAAAGGAGGCUAAAGAUUGCCACUGCCAGUCUAGUGCAAUAUCACUGGAUGUACUUUAUAGAAAGGUGUGCAAUUCUACUUCAAUUUACAUUUGUAUUCAUUUGUUUGUUUAUAAUUGAAAGUCAUGUGUGCAUUUGUUUGUUUAUAGGUAUCUUAUGACACUUAGGUCAUAUAUGCAUAAUCGAAGUCAUCCAGAAGGUUCAAUUGCGGAGGGAUACUUAGUUGAAGAGUGUAUGACCUUUUGCUCAAGGUACUUGGAUUAUGUUGAGUCAAAAUUGAAUCGACCAAUAAGGAAUUAUGAUGUUAGCGACAAUCCUGGGAUAUUGCUAGGUCAUGCUUUAGGAAAAGGAAAAGGGUUUGCGCUUAAUAACACAUCAUAGGUACAAGCUUAUCGGUAUGUGUUAUUUAACACUGCUGCGGUUGUCCCAUAUCGAGAGUAAGAUACACAUCUUUGUUCCAAUAUUUUAUUGAUACCAUUAAUAAGUAUCUUGCAUUUUAUAAGUACUUUAAAUGUGUAGGGAGCAUCAUGAUUUUAUUAAGCGGUCACAUCGUCGUCUCAAAGAUUUUGAUGUGGAUCGCCAUGACAAUGACAAGUUUCCUAGAUAGUUUAAUUCUCAUGUAAGUACUAAUAACUUACAUGUUUCUAAUUUUCAAUUCUCAUGUUUUCAAUUUUUAAUUCUUUGUUAAUUGAUGUUUAAUUUUGUUAACUUUUUAAAAAUAAGUUUAAGAGCUUCUAGCUAUUGAAAAUACUGUGUUGUCAGAUGAGAUUAAAAACUUUGGCAUUAGGACCUAGUAAAAAGGCCACGAGAUUCAGUGGGUAUAUAAUUAAUGGUACUACGUAUCAUACGAGGAGUCGUGAGUGGGGAAGAAAAACUCAAAAUAGUGGGGUUAUGGUGAAAGCAAAGACUUGUAGCUAUGCAAGUACCAAGGACAUGAAUCUUGUGGAAGGUGAAGCAGCAUACUAUGGGUAUGUCACAGAUAUUAUUGAAUUUUAUUACUCAUACGACCAUACAUAUGUGUUAUUCAUGUGUGACUGGAUUGACAACAACAAAGGAUUGAAGCAAGAUGGGUUUGGUUUCACACUUGUUAAUUUCAUACAAAGAAACAAAAUAGUGAUGAGUCAUUCAUCCUAGCAUCUCAAGCACAACAAGUCUUCUAUGUUAAUAAUCCCGUUGGAGCUGAAUGGGAUGUUGUAGUCAAGAUGAAACCUAGAGAUUUCUAUGAGGUGUGUGGAGAACAACCAACUAAUGAUGGAGUACAUCACAAUGAAGUGGAAGGACCAAGAGUUAGAUGCAACUUCAUUUGCUUGUGAAGAGGACAUAAAUUGGGUUAGGCAACAUGAAUUUGGAACAAAUAUUGAUGAAACUAUUGGACCUCUUGGGAUAUUGACACAGACACAAUCUGAAGAUGAUGAAGAAAUGAUAUGUAUUGUAAUAUUGUGUCAUAUUCACUGUUACAUUUGUGCUUUCAGUAUGGAUAUUCAUGUUAAUGAAACCUUUGCUUUUACAAUGCGUCAUUUGUUUGCUUUGUUAAUAAAAUCUUUGUUUUUGUAUUCACUAUUGUAUCUAUUGUACUUUAUAUUCAUUGUUAACUCAUAAAAUUCUACACUUAUGCUUGUGGUCUUCUAUAAACUAGCAUGACAGAUCGACAAUGCUCUAGGCAGAGUUCUUAUAGUGGGAGUUCAAAUAAGAGUUCUUAUAGUGAGAGUUCAAAGGAGAGUACAUGCAUCAUACCUGAUCCACCCAUGUCAUGGUAUCCUCCAGGUAGCUUGCCUAGUACAUCAUCGAGUACUGGUUUAGCACAUGACACUACACCCAGUAUGAAUUAUUGUAUUCAACUGCAUUAAUUCUAUUAGAUUUCUCUAUUUAUGUUUUUUUUUCUUUUAAUGUUUUAUCAUUCUCUGUAGUAUGUUCUAACUUGAUAUUGAUAUUGGAUGAGUAGGUCGUAGUUUGAGAGGCCCAACACUCAUGCAUGGUAGUGAUUGGAACCCAAGUGGUGGCAUUUGCAUAUUGUGCCUAAUGAGUUGAACCAUGUGGUUGACGGGUACACACCCUUGCUUCUCAUUUGGGUGUUUUAGCUCGAGAUGGGAACCUUAUGCCCCUUACUUAUAGAACUUGGAGCCAUGUAACGAAGGAAAAUAAAGAGAGAAUUUGGAGAGAAGUAAAGGUUAAUACAAAUGCUGACAAGUUGAUGUAGAAGUUUAUUUUGGCAUUUGUUGGAAAAGAAUGGAGAGAGUAGAAGGCUAGAGUUAAAAAAAAAUGGGGUAUACGCCAUUCAACAAUGAUGUUGAUAGGUUAACUCAUCGAACCCGAAAGAGUACAUGAACAUCAAUAGCGGAACUUGGUCUAUUACUGGGGCACUCAGAAGGCAUAGG